rnacentral:rRNA from 1 species
CCUGAUGCAGCCAUGCCGCGUGAGUGAAGAAGGUCUUCGGAUCGUAAAGCUCUGUUAUUGGGGAAGAAAGGCUGGGGCGAAUACCUUGCUGUCUUGACGUUACCGAUCCAAUAAGCCCGGCAUAAAUUCGUGCCCGCAGCCGCGAUAAUAA